AUUAGAAACCCUAACCCCAACCAUUUCAAAAUUUUAUUGAUGCGCGAUUUACCCUUGUUUGUUCGAUUUCCUCAUCGUUGCUUGUGAAGUUGUGUUCCUCUCUGCUCGUGUCACCGUUGCGUUUGUCACUGUUCGCGCGCUAUCGUACUCGUCGCUACUCGCAUCGGCGCAUCGCCAUCGUACUCGUUUGCUAAUCGCAUCGUCGUCGUGUUCGUCGCUGCUCAGCAUUUCCUCAUCGUUGCUUCUGAAGUUGUGUUACUCACUGCUCGCGUUGCCGUCGUACUCGUCUCUGCUCGCGUGCCGUCGUGCUUGUUGCUGCUCGUGCGCCUUCGUACUCGUCGCUCUGCAUUUUGAGCUUCUGAAUUUUGCUCUGCUCGAUUCCAAUUUGCUCGCCUUCUUCUACUUGCAACGUUUUUCUUGGCCCCUGGCUGGGUGCUGAUAUGCUCUGCUCCCCCGUGGUGCUCGUACUCUUUCCAUCACAGAUAGGCUCCUUGCUUUACUCAGCUUUGUUAUGGCUGAAGUUGAUGAGAAAUUCUGUUGUUGUAGGUGUUGGAGUUGGCUGAAAAUGCUUCCGGUUCAGUCAAUUUGCUGCCAGGUUUUUCACAAUGCUUCCAAUUAUCUUCACUUUCUUUUUCUCUGCUUAACUGAACUUACUUCUUCAGGGAGGAGGAAGAGGUUGAUAGAUUCAGCAAAGUUCAAGAGAGUUUCUUGACUAGUUCUUCAACUCUCCGUAUACUUGAAUUCAUGAAUUAUGAGAAAAUCAACCCUCGAAUGUGCAGGAAUUCUACAACAUCACUAAAGAUACAUACACAAAAUCACAGUUACAAAUCUGAAAUAUUGGAGAUUCACGCUGUUGCUCCAAUUAUGCAUGUUCUCUUUGUGCCUGGGAACCCAGGU